AUGUGAAGCGAACGCGGUGAACUGAAACAUCUAAGUAACCGCAGGAAAAGAAAUCAACCGAGAUUCCCAAAGUAGUGGCGAGCGAAAUGGGAUGAGCCUUGUACUCUUUAUUUGUAUUGUUAGCCGAACGCUCUGGAAAGUGCGGCCAUAGCAGGUGAUAGCCCUGUAGGCGAAAACAGUAUGAAAGAACUAGGUGUACGACAAGUAGGGCGGGACACGUGAAAUCCUGUCUGAAGAUGGGGGGACCAUCCUCCAAGGCUAAAUACUCGUGAUCGACCGAUAGUGAACCAGUACCGUGAGGGAAAGGCGAAAAGAACCCCGGGAGGGGAGUGAAAUAGAUCCUGAAACCGCAUGCAUACAAACAGUCGGAGCCUCGUAAGGGGUGACGGCGUACCUUUUGUAUAAUGGGUCAGCGACUUACGUUCAGUAGCAAGCUUAACCGUAUAGGGCAGGCGUAGCGAAAGCGAGUCCGAAUAGGGCGUUCAGUUGCUGGGCGUAGACCCGAAACCAGGUGAUCUAUCCAUGGCCAGGAUGAAGGUGCGGUAACACGUACUGGAGGUCCGAACCCACUAACGUUGAAAAGUUAGGGGAUGAGCUGUGGAUAGGGGUGAAAGGCUAAACAAACCUGGAAAUAGCUGGUUCUCUCCGAAAACUAUUUAGGUAGUGCCUCGUGUCUCACCUUCGGGGGUAGAGCACUGUCAUGGUUGGGGGGUCUAUUGCAGAUUACCCCGCCAUAGCAAACUCCGAAUACCGAAGAGUGCAAUCACGGGAGACAGACAUCGGGUGCUAACGUCCGGUGUCAAGAGGGAAACAACCCAGACCGCCAGCUAAGGUCCCCAAAUAUGGCUAAGUGGGAAACGAAGUGGGAAGGCUAAAACAGUCAGGAGGUUGGCUUAGAAGCAGCCACCCUUUAAAGAAAGCGUAAUAGCUCACUGAUCGAGUCGUCCUGCGCGGAAGAUGUAACGGGGCUAAGCCAUAUACCGAAGCUGCGGAUGCGUGCUUGCACGCAUGGUAGGAGAGCGUUCCGUAAGCCUGCGAAGGUGCCUUGUAAAGGGUGCUGGAGGUAUCGGAAGUGCGAAUGCUGACAUGAGUAGCGAUAAAGGGGGUGAAAGGCCCCCUCGCCGUAAGCCCAAGGUUUCCUACGCAACGUUCAUCGGCGUAGGGUGAGUCGGCCCCUAAGGCGAGGCAGAAAUGCGUAGCUGAUGGGAAGCAGGUCAAUAUUCCUGCACC
rnacentral:rRNA from 1 species